AGGGUUUGAUCAUGGCUCAGAUUGAACGCUGGCGGCGUGCCUAACACAUGCAAGUCGAGCGGUAACAGGUGUAGCAAUACAUGCUGACGAGCGGCGGACGGGUGAGUAACGCUUGGGAAUCUGCCUGAUAGUGGGGGACAACCCGGGGAAACUCGGGCUAAUACCGCAUACGCACUACGGUGGAAAGCCGGGGACCGCAAGGCCUGGCGCUAACAGAUGAGCCCAAGUCGGAUUAGCUAGUUGGUAGGGUAAUGGCCUACCAAGGCGACGAUCCGUAACUGGUCUGAGAGGACGACCAGUCACACCGGAACUGAGACACGGUCCGGACUCCUACGGGAGGCAGCAGUGGGGAAUAUUGGACAAUGGGCGAAAGCCUGAUCCAGCGACGCCGCGUGGGUGAAGAAGGCCUGCGGGUUGUAAAGCCCUUUCGGUGGGGAAGAAAAGCCUCGUUUUAAUACAGCGGGGUCUUGACGUAACCCAUAGAAGAAGCACCGGCUAACUCUGUGCCAGCAGCCGCGGUAAUACAGAGGGUGCGAGCGUUAAUCGGAAUUACUGGGCGUAAAGCGCGCGUAGGCGGCUUUGCAAGUCGGGUGUGAAAUCCCCAGGCUUAACCUGGGAACUGCAUUCGAGACUGCAUUGCUAGAGUAUGGGAGAGGGAAGUGGAAUUUCCGGUGUAGCGGUGAAAUGCGUAGAUAUCGGAAGGAACAUCAGUGGCGAAAGCGACUUCCUGGACCAAUACUGACGCUCAUGUGCGAAAGCGUGGGGAGCAAACAGGAUUAGAUACCCUGGUAGUCCACGCCAUAAAC
rnacentral:rRNA from 1 species